UGCUGCGGAGGUGCUGCAUGGCUGUCGUCAGCUCGUGUCGUGAGAUGUUGGGUUAAGUCCCGCAACGAGCGCAACCCUUAUCGUUAGUUGCCAUCAGGUCAAGCUGGGCACUCUAGCGAAACCGCCUCGGAUAACGGGGAGGAAGGUGGGGAUGACGUCAAGUCCUCAUGGCCUUUAUGUCCAGGGCUACACACGUGCUACAAUGGUCGGUACAAACCGUUGCAAACCCGCGAGGGGGAGCUAAUCGGAAAAAGCCGGCCUCAGUUCGGAUUGGAGUCUGCAACCCGACUCCAUGAAGCUGGAAUCGCUAGUAAUCGCAGAUCAGAACGCUGCGGUGAAUACGUUCCCGGGCCUUGUACACACCGCCCGUCACAUCACGAAAGUGGGUGAUACUAGAAGUCGUCGUGCUAACCUGCAAAGGGAGUAGACGCCCAAGGUAUGACUCAUGAUUGGGGUGAAGUCGUAACAAUGCCUUCGAUAAGAAGGAGGAAGGUGGGGACGACGUCAAAUCCUCAUGGCCCUUAUGUCCAGGGCUACACACGUGCUACAAUGGCCGGUACAACGGGAAGCAAUACCGCAAGGUGGAGCCAAACCCUUAAAGCCGGCCUCAGUUCAGAUCGUGGGCUGCAACUCGCCCACGUGAAGGCGGAAUCGCUAGUAAUCGCGAAUCAGCAGGUCGCGGUGAAUACGUUCCCGGGCCUUGUACACACCGCCCGUCACACCACGAAAGCCCGCUGCAACAGAAAUCGGUGAUCUAACCGGCAAGGGAGGAAGCCGCUGAAGUUGUGGUUGGUGAUUGGGGUGAAGUCGUAACAAGGU
rnacentral:rRNA from 1 species